CCGAACCGUCGACACGAGUUGUUGCUGGCCCCUCUGACAGGGGGGCACGUGCACACUCUGUUUACACAUCCACUCACACCUGUGCACCCUCUGUAGUUCUGUGGCUUGAGAGACAGAGUCUCUCUGCCGUGGCUCUACGUUUUUAUACACACUCUGUAGUGAAGUCUUAUGGAAUGUGUGCCGCGUUUAACGCAAUGAAAUA
rnacentral:misc_RNA from 1 species